rnacentral:rRNA from 1 species
UCUGGAAAGGCGCGCGAUACAGGGUGACAGCCCCGUACACAAAAAUGCACAUACUGUGAGCUCGAUGAGUAGGGCGGGACACGUGGUAUCCUGUCUGAAUAUGGGGGGACCAUCCUCCAAGGCUAAAUACUCCUGACUGACCGAUAGUGAACCAGUACCGUGAGGGAAAGGCGAAAAGAACCCCGGCGAGGGGAGUGAAAAAGAACCUGAAACCGUGUACGUACAAGCAGUGGGAGCACGCUUAGGCGUGUGACUGCGUACCUUUUGUAUAAUGGGUCAGCGACUUAUAUUCUGUAGCAAGGUUAACCGAAUAGGGGAGCCGAAGGGAAACCGAGUCUUAACUGGGCGUUAAGUUGCAGGGUAUAGACCCGAAACCCGGUGAUCUAGCCAUGGGCAGGUUGAAGGUUGGGUAACACUAACUGGAGGACCGAACCGACUAAUGUUGAAAAAUUAGCGGAUGACUUGUGGCUGGGGGUGAAAGGCCAAUCAAACCGGGAGAUAGCUGGUUCUCCCCGAAAGCUAUUUAGGUAGCGCCUCGUGAAUUCAUCUCCGGGGGUAGAGCACUGUUUCGGCAAGGGGGUCAUCCCGACUUACCAACCCGAUGCAAACUGCGAAUACCGGAGAAUGUUAUCACGGGAGACACACGGCGGGUGCUAACGUCCGUCGUGAAGAGGGAAACAACCCAGACCGCCAGCUAAGGUCCCAAAGUCAUGGUUAAGUGGGAAACGAUGUGGGAAGGCCCAGACAGCCAGGAUGUUGGCUUAGAAGCAGCCAUCAUUUAAAGAAAGCGUAAUAGCUCACUGGUCGAGUCGGCCUGCGCGGAAGAUGUAACGGGGCUAAACCAUGCACCGAAGCUGCGGCAGCGACGCUUAUGCGUUGUUGGGUAGGGGAGCGUUCUGUAAGCCUGUGAAGGUGUACUGUGAGGUAUGCUGGAGGUAUCAGAAGUGCGAAUGCUGACAUAAGUAACGAUAAAGCGGGUGAAAAGCCCGCUCGCCGGAAGACCAAGGGUUCCUGUCCAACGUUAAUCGGGGCAGGGUGAGUCGACCCCUAAGGCGAGGCCGAAAGGCGUAGUCGAUGGGAAACAGGUUAAUAUUCCUGUACUUGGUGUUACUGCGAAGGGGGGACGGAGAAGGCUAUGUUGGCCGGGCGACGGUUGUCCCGGUUUAAGCGUGUAGGCUGGUUUUCCAGGCAAAUCCGGAAAAUCAAGGCUGAGGCGUGAUGACGAGGCACUACGGUGCUGAAGCAACAAAUGCCCUGCUUCCAGGAAAAGCCUCUAAGCAUCAGGUAACAUCAAAUCGUACCCCAAACCGACACAGGUGGUCAGGUAGAGAAUACCAAGGCGCUUGAGAGAACUCGGGUGAAGGAACUAGGCAAAAUGGUGCCGUAACUUCGGGAGAAGGCACGCUGAUAUGUAGGUGAAGUCCCUCGCGGAUGGAGCUGAAAUCAGUCGAAGAUACCAGCUGGCUGCAACUGUUUAUUAAAAACACAGCACUGUGCAAACACGAAAGUGGACGUAUACGGUGUGACGCCUGCCCGGUGC